CUUUUUUAGGCUCACACCAUACUUUAAUUCAUCAAUUCUUUAAAGUCAGACAUCAUGGACAUAGUUAUUCCUCUCUAAAACAACACAACAGGAGAUUAUCCGAUUGUGUAGAAUAGUUUCUUCAAAUCAGAAGCAUAUCUUUUGGAUGAACUUUUGUAAACAGGAUACUUUUUGAUUUCUUGGAAUAGUUUCUUCAAAUCAGAAGCAUACAUCUUGGACAAAUUUUUGUAAACAGGUAUUCAAAUAACUGUUAAUAAACAUGCAAAACACCGCUAUCAAGACAACCAACUGCACAUUUAGUCUUCCUAUUAUAACGGCGAUCUUGUAUGUAGUUCAGGAAUACUCUCAUUAGAUUUGACGCAAACGUUGCGGCAACUUUUCCAGACGGGGAUAGUCGAAUGACUGUAAGAAAGAAAGCUUAACACCAAGAUCAAGGAGAUUAUCCGAUUGUGUAGAAUAGUUUCUUCAAAUGAGAAGCAUAUCUUUUGGAUGAACUUUUGUAAACAGACAAUUACUCGUACUGUUUGGUGGGAAAUUAUGCCAAAAAUAAUUAGGCACUGCUAUCAAUAGAUGCUGUUAAUGAACACACACUUGGAUACUUUUUGAUUUCUUGGAAUAGUUUCUUCAAAUCAGAAGCAUACAUCUUGGACAAAUUUUUGUAAACAGAUUUGACUCAAACGUUGCGGCAACUUUUCCAGACGGGGAUAGUCGAAUGACUGUAAGAAAGAAAGCUUAACACCAAGAUCAAGAUAAACAGUCAUAAACGCAUUCACACACAUAUAUCUGCAUUUGAGCUUACUGAUUAUUUUUGUGAAGAAAAACAAAUAACGAACUUAAUCAAAAGUAAUUGAUUCAAAGUAAAACUUAUAUAUUACGUUGUUGUAUUAGUGAGAAUACAAGGUGUUUAUCACAAAUGUUAAUUCACCUGAUUGGGUGGAGCUUACGUUUUGAUUAACAUAAGGACAGUCUAAUGAGUGUAUGAUGUGGACAGUUCACUGAUGAGUGUAUAAAACACCUAUAUAUAGAUGAACUAGUCUAUAAUGAGCAAACCGAUAAAACUCUGCCCAGUCAAGUAACAGAAAUCAAGCAGUACUUGCUGCCAUUGCAAGUUUUGCUAUUGCGGCAGUAUAUUAGUGAUAAAACAAGGUGUAUACUUCCUGGUGUUGCAAGUUGUACUAUUGGGAAAUAUGAAUACUUCAUCGAUGUGUAUUAGUCAGAAUACACGAUGUAUACUUGCUGGUGUUGCAAGUCGUUAUAUUGUGGAAGUUUAUAAGUGAAAGUCAACUGUGUUUAAUUUUACCAGUUUGGAAUAUAUUCAUUUGGUUCAGAUUCAAAGUGAUAAACAGUGUAAAGUAAAAUCACAAAACUACUGAGCUCCGAGGAAAACGGAAAGUCUCUAAUUAAAUGACAAAAAAAACAUACAUCAAACGAAUGGACAACAACAACUUAACAAACAGACAUUACAGGAGAUUAUCCGAUUGUGUAGAAUAGUUUCUUCAAAUCAGAAGCAUAUCUUUUGGAUGAACUUUUGUAAACAGACAAUUACUCGUACUGUUUGGUGAGAAAUUAUGCCAAAAAUAAUUAGGCACUGCUAUCAAUAGAUGCUUUUAAUGAACACACACUUGGUAACGUAAUAUUUUAGACAAUUAGUCGUAAACGCAUUCGAACACAUGUAUCUGCAUUCAUGGAUAUUGAUUUUUUUUGUAAACAUAUGAUC